GUGUCAGCAGCCGCGGUAAUACGGGGGGUGCAAGCGUUGUUCGGAUUUAUUGGGCGUAAAGCGCGUGUAGGCGGUUUUAUAAGUCUGAUGUGAAAGCCCUGGGCUCAACCUGGGAAGUGCAUUGGAUACUGUAGGACUUGAAUACGGGAGAGGGCAGUGGAAUUCCUGGUGUAGGAGUGAAAUCCGUAGAUAUCAGGAGGAACACCGGUGGCGAAGGCGGCUGCCUGGACCGAUAUUGACGCUGAGACGCGAAAGCGUGGGUAGCAAACAGGAUUAGAUACCCCCGUAGUCC
rnacentral:rRNA from 1 species